rnacentral:lncRNA from 1 species
UAGCAUAAGCCCUAUUUCAUCUUUCCAAUCAAGUUUUUGGCAGCAACCAUCGAUUCAGGAGUAGCUUUCUCUUUGUCAAAGUGAUUUUUGAUGUUCAUCCUUUAAUUUUCCUUUUAUUUAUGAGAGAGGGGUCUUUCUUAUUCAUUGAUCUUCUUGUUUAGUGCAGUUCUUCCACUACCCAGGUAAUUAUUCUAGGCUUUGUUUGUUAUACGUUUUUAAUUUUUUCUUCAGUUUCUCUCUAAACUUAGGUUUAAUUUGUUUUUUCGUUUUUGAUGGGCAUCUGCAGUGCUUGGUUUAUAAGCUUUU